CACCAUUCUUGGAAACAAAUACCGACCAUGCUAAUUUGCAGAGGACAUGACAUCACAUGGAGACAUAAGAGGAAAGAAAAAUACAUUGUAAGAGGAAAAUUCCAUAGUUCGAUAAAAACCUACGUACAAUUCCAUUUUGCUGUAUUGAGGGAUUGCAGUGCAGUUUGGUGCUCACUCAAUGUACCCAGCAGCAGGCUUUCUGUGUCCCAGCACUGCGUGCAUCAUGGCAAAAUAUACAUAAACAAAUACAC